rnacentral:lncRNA from 1 species
CCGGCCUCUCUUCACUAUAAAAAUUGGCAAACAUAUUUGCGUAAAUCCUUCCGCUAAUUCCUUCUUCAAGCCCAUCUCUUUGUUAGAUCCGACAAACAAUAUGGACUAUUGUCCGAUGUUGGAAAUUUCUUUCUUUCUAGCCUAAGGUUUACAGAAAAUUCUUUGUCCGAAGAGAAAUUUUACCCCGAACUCCAAUAAGACCAAAAUUUCUCAUUAUUUCAUUAAUCUAUGAAAAUUGAUUAACACUAUUUCCUUAAUUGUGCAAAUAAAUCAAUUAUGACACCAAUCAUACGAAUCAAUUGAAGAGAGCUUUGAACACCAAUAUAUUAAAUUCAAUUAUGCCUUGCUGAACCUUCCUCCAACUUGCUAAUUACUUAAUUUUUUUAUAUAUAUUUCCUGUUUAAUACAGGAACUGCUUAAGGCCAUCAAAGCUGACUUAGGAAGAGUGCGAGCGGAGGAAAUAUACAAAGAAGGCAGGCUGAUAGCUGUGGAGAGUUCACUCCUAGAGUUCAAGAGAGUGAUUGGGGAUCUAAAAGCAAAGGCAAAAUUGGUUGAUGACUUGGUGAACCUGGUCAUUCAAGUUGUGAUAGAUAAUGAUCUAAACAUUGAUGAGCAAAUCACUAUCUUGAUAGAUGAAGUUAUAAGGGCCUUCACCCAAGCGUUGAACGGGGCACAAUCUCACGGCAGUUGCCCGGCUGCAGGCGAAAAUGGUGGAGGGCAUGACAGCAGUUUCGACCAUCCCGAUUAAUACGACAGAGAUUCCUGUAUUUGUGUCAUGCUAGUAUUAUAUUUUUAUAUUAUAAUGUGUUUUUUUUUUUACAAGUUCUAUUUUACUUUUAGUAUUUAUGUCUUACCUAAAUGUUAUACCUAAAGUAGUCAAAUUUAAGUGGCAUGACACUAGAAGCAUCAUUGUAUGAGUCCCCAAGAACAAAUAAGAAUGUUAUCUAAUACGUUUCUAGUUUUAAAUUGACAGAACCAAAGAUAGUGUCUGCAACGGGUGUAAAGAGGCUCAAUCUCUCUAAUUCUUGAAAAUUCUUGAACAAGUGCGUGGUUAAUUAGUAAAUUUUAAUUUUCUUAUAUGUGAUCAUUUAUUUUCUUUUUCUUUUAUGAUUUAGAAAUGAUUUCUAUAUUUGAGUCUUAUCAAAGGAGCUGUAGAGUAUAACAAUAAUGAAACUAUGAUUAUUAAUUGUCUAAGUAUUAAAUCACUAAUGCAUUGAAUACUCUCCAUUGAUCACUACAUUUGCAUCCAAUUAGAAAGUGGCUUUGAGAUCUUGUUAGUUUAGUUUGACAGUUUUAGUCCAUUCUUCGUAUUACUUAUUGGUGACAGUAAUAAUCAUAACUUUACUUAAUUGGUAAUUUUGGGAUUGGUUAAUAAAGUAAGUAAUUAAUUGAUUUAAACUUGAUUUAUAUUUUCAUAAUAUAUCCUUUGAGUACAAUCAUGGUAUUGGUUUAGAAAGAGGGGGUUAGAUUGGUUGACCCAUGAAUUGCUCAGAACCAAUUAAAAUACGAUAAAAAUCAGUUGAACUGAUUUUCUUUAUCUUUUAAAUAUAUUUUUAAUUUUUAUAAUUUAAAACAAUUUAUUUAAUUAUUAUGGACGAAUUGGUUGAACCGGUCAAAUUAAGAACUGAUGGUCUAACUAAUUAAACCACCAAUUUGUUUUUGAAAACCUUGAUUCUUAUGUAACAUUAUUAUUUGCAUAAAUUGUAGAAUAAAUUUUUGAAGUUAAAAUAUGCUUCAAGUCUUUGCAUUCUUUGGGUAUUUAAAAUUUAGUCCAUCUACUUUUCAAAUUUAAAAGGUCAACUUUAAUUGUUAAAAUCAUUAAUUUUUUAUGUUAAAUUCGCAAGAGUGACAUUUUAAUUAUUUUUUUUGAAAUACUCACAUGAUAAACAUGUAACAAAAAAACAAUGCAAUGGUCAUGAAUUUAAUUAUCUAAUAGUGUUAACAACUCUUAAAAUUUACAUAAUCAUUUUAAUAAAAAUAAAACAUUUGAGCUAAUCAAUGACAUCGUAAAAGUUAAGGUACUAAAUUAUGUAAAGAAGUUAAAGUAUAAAGAUUAAAUUUUAAAUUUGAGUGUAGUAUAAGGACCAAAAUUUUAAACUUGUCAUUGUUUUAUAAUGUAUAGAAAAAGUAUGGUAUCAUGUCACUUUGCCACAUUGAUAGGGUUUUUUUUUUUUUUUUGCUAAUACAUUUAUGAAUAGUCGAAAAAAUCACUUUAACCUUUCAACUAUAAAUAUUUUUUUAUUAUUCUUGAACACUUAUUAACAUACACAUAAUAUAAUAGUAAAAUAAUAAGAUAAUUAUCACAUAUAAAUAUAUAAAUUAUUUGAACUAAUUAAUGUCAUUGUAAAAGUAAAGCACUAAAUUAUGUAAAAUUACUAUUGUUGUUUUUAUUUUUUUGGAGUUUGACAGAAAGUAGAAGUAUUAUAGAUAAUAUAUAUGUAAAAUAUAAUACAUUAUUUUUUGUAAAAAUAUACUGUUUAAUAAAUUAAAAAUAAAUAUAUAAAUAUGAUUAAUAAAUAAGAGUCAGGUUAAAGGAAACAAAAAGCCAAUAAACUUAGUUUUUGUAUUGAAAUUUCCGCAACUCUAGAACACUUGAUACGAGACGAUAAAUACAAAGCACACUUGACUCCAAGGACAAUAGAGAGUGGGUAAGACAUUAAAUUUAUCGAUAAGGAUUGGGAAGGAGCUUUGUUCACUAUAAAUAUCCGCAAAUAUCACAAGCCCAUUUGUCGUCCUAAAAAAAAAAAAAAAAAAUUUCCUAUUGAAGCUCAUCACUUAGAAAGAAUAUGAACUGUUGUUCAAUGUUGUAAUUUCUUUCUGGCCUAUGGUUUAUAGCAAAUCCUGUGUCCGAGUUUCAAAGGUGUGAACCAUGGCUUACACAAAACCUGUUCAUUCUAUUGUAGCUAUUCCUAGCAGUGGAGUUCGAACACAGCAUCCGCCGCUACAUGUCUUCACAUUUUUUUAACCGCCUAUAACCAUUUUUUUUCAUCUUAUAACCAUACUAUGUUUUCUCAUUGACAGAAGUCAUCAAAGAAUGAUGACUCUGCACAGCGAGAGAGAAAAUUCCAGAAAGAAAAAAUUUCUGAAUGGAUGAUACUUUCUUAUUGCUUACCAUAUUGACUGCCCAUUUACAUUUAUAGCUACAGCUCGCUGAUGGAUAAACUGCUCUCUACAGCUUUCAACAACUGACGUUAACAACUCUUUAACAGUCCUCAACUAACAUUGACUUUAAUGACCUUAACAACUUUGCAACUGACGUUAACAACUCUUAACGGUCUUCCGCUGACAUUAAUAGCUCCUCCAGGGGUGGUGGUUGUCUACCUUGUCUUUUGGGAGAUGGGUGGCCUGAGCCCUUGUUAACUCUUCUAUCGCCUCUGCUGCUCGUCUUCCCUGAUGCUCUGGAACAUUGUUGAAUUGGUUGGUCUUAGCUAUGGCAGGCGGGGAGGUGUUUUGCUUUGCUUGAUAAUAGGGUGAUGAGACCCGAGACCUCUGAUUAGGGCGGAUCUAUGGCUGUUGCUGAUUCUUCCCCGUUUUAAAUGGGAAACGGAAGGUGGAUGGUUGUUGUCUGAUGGGAUGCCUCUGUUCGCUGCUAUGCUUUGGAGCUUUGUCUCCUUCUAACCCUUUGUAUCCUUUUUCUCAAAUCAAUGAAUUUGGUCUUAAUUCCCACCCACACAUUACGUUUAAAAUAUGAAAGACAAGCCAGUCUUUUCCCUUUUAAAAAAAUAAGCGUUACAUAAAAUGUUUGGCUUGAUUCAUCAUUGAGAACAAAAUUGGAAAGCAAUUAAAUUGGUUAAAAGAAGUGGUUAAAUUGGUUGAAACAAGCAUGAGACACAAAAAUAGUGGUGGUGGAUUCCUAUGACGAUAACAAAACGUUAAAAUGCUUUUGUCAUAUUCCGUGGCGAUGGGUGAAGACAAUGUACGCCUUGGUCCAUUUACUGGAGAUCGGUGAAGGCAAUGUAGGGCUUUGCAAAAUGCUUAAAUCCCUCGAUUCUCGAUUGUAUCAUAUUCCUAACAACAUUGGAGUCUUUAGUGGGCUGCCCUGGUCCACCCCAAAUCGCUCGAUUUUGGCAAUGUCUUUAGUUGAAUGCCCUGGUCCACCCCAAAAUCCCUUGAUUUUGGCAAUACUAUUACAAGACUGGUGAUUGAUGAAGACAAUAUACAUACGUGUCACGGGUCGCGAAUCGAAUUCGGUGACGAAUGUAUAUUAAAUGUUUCAUGGAGUUCAACUGAUUAAAUAAGGCUUGUUUGACCCAUUUAAGAUGGUCUGAAUUGUUAAGCAUGUGAAAAAAAUCCAUUCACUUGAAGCUUUUGUGACCUAGUAGAACACUUCAAUAAAAUUAGAGUUAGUAUGAUGAAUAUUGCAAGUCCUACAAUAUAGGAUUGUAUAGAGUUUAUAUCCUUUAGGAUUCUAAUACCCAAAGUUUAAAAUGUUUGUAAUCACAUCCCAGAACUUUGGAUUACAUUAAUUAAGUUCUUCCGUUAUUAAAAUCAUUAAGGGUCUGUUUGAUUGUCAGUAAAAUGUUUUCCGUAAAAUGAUUUCUGGAAAAUAUUUUACUUUUCUGUAAAAUGAUUUACUAGAAAAUAUUUUCUGCUGUUUGGCACAUUUCCUGAAAAUAUUUUCCGGAAAAGUUGUUUUUACAUAUAUUAAUAUAUAUUAAUAAUUUUUUAUAUUUUAAAUUGUUUUUACAUAUAUUGCAAUGAUUUAUUUAUAAUAAUACUCAAUUAUUAAGCUACAAUAUUAAUCGUUAUAAAUUGAAAAAAACUAAUAUCAAAUAAAUUAUUUAUAAUUGUGUUAAAAAAACAAGUUACUGGAAAAUCAAUAAACAGAAGCAGUUUUCUACCGGAAAUGAAGGAAGGAAUGAAGGAGGCGAUAGAGAGGAGAGCACGGAAAAUGUCUUACGGAAAUUGAAAGGGUAAGACAUUUUCCAUAAAAUGUAACAUAUUUUCCCUUGUUUUGGAGUUCAUUUUCCAAAUGGAAAAUGUUUUCCGCCAAUCAAACGCUGGAAAAGUUGGAAAUGAUUUUCCGAAAAAUCAAUUUCGUCAAUCAAACAGACCCUAAUUUCACUAUUCAGUGACAUACCAAAUCUUACGUAGAAUAAUUUAAAAUUCAAAAAUUAAAAAAAUAAGAAAAUAAUUAAAUUUAAUAAAUUUUCAUUUUGGUCAAUCAUUUACUUUUUUUUUUUAAAUUAAGUUUAACAACGGGAGUUAAAUGAGAUGGCAAGGGUCUUUCCUACCUUAACCAGUAGUCGAGGAUUUGAUUUUUAUCCUGGAUAUGGAGCAUCUUUAAAACUUGUGACAAACAUCUACUCCCUUAAUGACCUAUAAAAUCUGGAGCAGCUUUAAAAUUUGAUUUUUUGUCCUAUAAAAAUCUAGAUAUUUCUUUGUAAAAUUUCAUAAUUUUCCCUUUUACUAAAAAUAACUACAAUUAUUGUUAAAGGGGAAAAAUCAUUCCUUUAUAAAUUCAAAUUUUUUCCUUCUAAAACCCAUGUAAUUCUCUAUAAAAUCUCAAGUUUUUUCUUUUUACUGAAAAAACUAAAGUUAAAUCUAGAAAAAAAGGAAAAAUAAUAAAUUUAAAUUUAAAAGAAGAAAAUUAAAAAAUGUUGAGUGGCUAAAAAGAGUGUAAACUAACAGUGAGUGAUAAAAAUGAUAACUUAUUAAAAUUGGGUGACAAAAAAGAAAAUAAUUGUUAACAGUGGUGCUUAAUUUGCAAUUUUUUUUUUACUUUUGAUGGGCAAAAUAAAAUUUAUGAAAUUUAAGUGACGAAUUGGGUAAUUUAUGAAAAUUGAUGAUCACUAUUCCCUUGAUAAAUUCGUCCUUCCCCCACCCUUCACCACCCCCGUCCUUUCAUUUCUCUGUUUCUCUUUAUUAUUUCUCUUUAGUCGUUUGCUAGAUCAAAUGAUAAGUUUUUGCUACUUCCUAUCUUGUUAUUUUCAUUGAUUCUUGCCAUCUUCCAUGUUGCUACUCUGAUUAUCAAAUUUCCUUAAUAAAUUCGUCUUUCUUUCAACCUUCAACCUCCCCUCCUUUCAUUUCUCUAUUAUUUCUGUUCAAUAGUUUGUAAGAUUAGAUGGUAAGCUUUUGCUACUUUCUAUCUUAUAGUCUUUGUUAAUUUCAUUGCUUCUUUACAUCUUCCAUAUUGCUACUCUGAUUUUUAUUAUUAUUUGAGCUAUGUGACUAAAUUCUAAGAGAUUGCUUGUAAGUUAAAUUAAUCAGAAUAUAUUUUUUUUCUAGAAAAUUUAGCAUUUAUUAGUAUCAUAUAUUUAGCAUUUAUUAGCAUAAUUUAUUUGACUUACAAAUUUAGCCUAUAAAUAGGUUCUUUUACAACCUUAGAAAAUACAAUACACCCAUUAGAGAUUAGAACUCAUAACACAUUUAGAGAAUUUUGUGUUUACAUUUUGAGGGUUUUUUGUUUUCGGGUUUUCGAGGUUUAGUUUUUAUCUCCAUCUUUUGUACUCUUCGUUCUUUUGUCAUUAUAGUAAAAUUAUCUUUGCCUGUGAUUUUUUAUCCUCUUUGGAGGGAUUUUUUCACGUUAAAUUUGUGUGUUCAAUUUCUCAAUUUAUUCUACUACUUUUUUUACUUGUUACUUAAUCAGGUCGAUCCUAACAAUUAUUAUUAUUAUUGGUUAAUUUGGAACAAUAAUAUCUCUUUCAAUUACUAGACUUUUAUACUGGAUCCCAAAUUAAUUUCUUCUAAUUACGUCAUCUUUACUAUCAAGAUUAAUUCUUUCAUAAUAAAACCUGUGGAUCUAAAAUAGAUUUAUAUAUGCGUGGGAUCCAAUUACACAUGUAUAAAAUUUAAGUUGUUUUACACUCUUUCGUGAUUUUUUGUACGAUUAAUAUUUUAAUCAUCUAACUAUUUUAUUUCAUACUUUAUGUAAAUUAUACAUGUCAAAUUUGACAUAAUUUAAAAUUUUUCUAACUAUUUGUUUUACGCAAAAGAAACUUUCUAACCGUAAAAGAUAUAUUAAUAUUGAUAAUAUUUUAGAUCAAAGUGAUAGAGGUAUCAGUUCGAUUAAAAAAUUUACAUUAUGAUAAAUAUAAAAAACUACGGAAGAGUGUAAAACCACUUAAAAUUUGCAACGGUGUAAAUGAGUCCCUACACUUUAUAUAUUUUAACAAUCCAACCGUUAAAAUAUUAAUCGCAUAAAAAGUCAUAAAAUAGUGUAAAAUCACUCUAAUUUUACACCGAUAUAAGCAAACCCCUCUCCUAUAUAUUGAAAGAUGAAAUAAUUAUUUAUGGUUAUUUCUAAACUUAUCCAUGGGACAGGCCACCCGGUCCAGCCUAAAGACUCGCCUAAAAAGUGAGAGGGUUUAGGUAACAAUGUAGGCUCAAAAACUGGGCUUGGGCACAACCGGGCCUUAGGAGGAAAAAGACUACUACUUUUCCUUGCUGUUUUUUACUUUUUUUCUUUUUGUUAUUUUCUUUCUACUUUUUCACUAUUUUGCUACUAUUUUACUAUUAUGUUGGUACUAUUUUGUUGUUAUUGUUUGGAUAUUGUAUAACUAUUAUUUUGUUGUUACUUUUGUUACUAUUUUUGUGACAUUUACUUGUUAAAUUGCACAUAUCUUAGUGUUAUUUAAGUAUACAUAUAUAUUUAUUUUCAAUUUGUUAGAAAACAUUUAUUUUAAUAUAUUUAGUAUUUUUGAUGUAUUACAUAUAUUUUAAAAAACUAUAUAAUAAAUAAUAUAAAAAAAUUAAUACGGAUGGACCAAGUGGAGCCUAGAUUUUAGUAUUUUUAUCCAGGUCAAGCUUGUGCAAAAUUUUAGCUCAUUUUUCAGGCAGAGCCUGCAACUAACAAACGGGCUUAAAUUUUUGUUUAGGCUAGUCUCAAACCCAAUUUGAUCCGGCCCAUGAACACCUGUAAUUAUAUCUAUGCUCUGCCUAGAUUUAUUUGUGCCCGUGAAUAACUUUUAGUGUUUUUUUUUUGUUUAUAAAUCACUUUUUAUUGUAUAUAACUUAUUUGCUUAUUAUAUAUAUUUUUAUAACAGUUUAAUAUAAUAUUUAAUAUUUGAAUUUUACUGUCUUUUUUAAUAAAGUUUUUUUUUUGUUAGAUUUGGAAUAUCAACUUAUCAAAUGUUUUUCACAUUAAUAUAAUAUAUUAAUACUUUUAUAUUGUAGGCAUGAAAAUUUGAAUUUGAUCUUAAGUAACUUCAUUCCUCCUUUUAAUUAUUAAAAAAAAACAGUUUUAUUUUUUUUACGAGAUAACAUAAAUAAAAUUACACUUUAUUGCAAUGAAAAAUUGGCUCAAACGUGUUUCACCGGAGACAAACAAUGAACCAAAGGAGGUUAUAUGUUUAAGUUAUAGUACUUUAUCAUCCUUUUUUUUAAUCAGUCAUAUUCAACCUGUUGUUUAUAAAUGUGAAUUACUUUAAAAUUGGGAUAGCUUUAUAACCAACAAUAUAAUUUUAGGUUCAUAAAAUAAAACAACUGUUUCUUUAGUUAUAAUAUGUUAGUCAUAACUAGGGGCCCUCUUUUUCUUUUUUUUUUGUUGGGUAAUGAGAGUCCAUUUAGUUCAUGUUUUGGCUAUUUUAUUUUCAAUUACUUUCCUAUAUUUCAAACUUUUUAUAAAAAAAUUUUAUAACAUAUUAAAACUUGCAGUUUAACCAAACAUAUUAAGCAAAGCCAAUAAGCUUAUUAACGUAAUUAAUUACUAAUUUAGAAUUAAAAGCAAGAGAAUUUAAAAAUUAGGUUGGAUCAAGUUUAAUUCACAAUUUGACAUGUCUAAAAGUUUUGUUUAAUCCACUGCCCGAAGCAUGAAUUUGGGAUUCAUAAUUCCUGUCCAAAGAAUGUUUGGAAAUAAAUACAUAGUCUUAAUUAUCCAACGGUGAUGAUCACAAAUUUAGAUUUAUAUAUAUAUAAUUGUGAUUAGGAUAUAGGCUAUUCAACCCAAACUAUUUUUAUUUCAACAUCUUCCAAUUCUCUUACGAAAAUUUUAGAGUAAUUAUUUUCCUCAAAGAAACUCUGUUAUGUGCUAACUUGGGCUGUAAAUUUAAUUGAAAAAAAAUAAUUUGUCGAUUGAGUCUUAAUACGGUUGGUAUGGACAUUAUUGCUAAUGUAGAACGACGCAGGUUCGAGUGCGUUGAACCACAUUAUCCUUCUAUUUAUAGCUUGUGAAGGAGUUAUAGGUAAUUUUAGGCAUUGUUUAAAUAAAAAACAGAUAUGAUUUGAACUUAUAAUGAGAUUAUUAAAAAAAAAAAAAAAAGGUAAAUCAAUUAUGCCUUACUGAACCUUCCUCCAGCUUGCUAAUUACUUAUAUAUUUCCUGUUUAAUACAGGACCUGCUUAAGGCCAUCAAAGCUGACUUGGGAAGAGUGCGAGCGGAGGAAAUAUACACAGAAGGCAGGCUGAUAGCUGUGGAAAGUUCACUCCGAGAGUUUAAGAGAGUCAUUGGGGAUCUAAAAGCAAAGGCAAAAUUGGUUGAUGACUUGGUGAACCAGGUCAUUGAAGCUGUGAUUGAUAAUGAUCUAAACAUUGAUGAGCAAACCAUUGUCUUGAUAGAUGAAGCUAUAAGUGCCUUCACCCAAGCGUUGAACGGGGC